AGAAUCAACGCUGGCGGCGUGCCUAACACAUGCAAGUCGAACGAGAAAGUGGAGCAAUCCAUGAGUAAAGUGGCGACCGGGUGAGUAACCACGUGACUAACCUACCUUCGAGUGGGGGAUAACCUCGGGAAACCGAGGCUAAUACCGCAUAACAUCGCAAGAUCAAAGCAGCAAUGCGCUGGAAGAGGGGGUUCGCGGCUGAUUAGCUAGUUGGCGGGUAACGGCCACCAAGGCGAAGAUCGGUA
rnacentral:rRNA from 1 species